AUGGGGAUUAAAAUGCCUUUUUGUCAUGUCUUUUUUGACCUAGACUCAGACCAUCAUUUCUCCAGUAUUACUGGUUACAUUACAUGGGCCUGUUCGGUGGGAGAGGAGACCACACCGAACAUGGGAACCAGGAUGAGAGAAUCAUGGGAGGUCAUCCUGGAGGCUCAGCUGCCAGGAGAUGAAGCUAUAGUCACUGGAGAAACUGAACCGAGGAUGGAUGAGAGCUCCAACCAGGACACACAAGAGGAUGACCAGCUGAGGUUAAGUGACAUUGAGUGGCUCCAAUCCACAAGGUUGUAUUAGUUUCUCCUCUAGUAGUAGGAGAUAUUUAUCAAAUCUCAGGACCAUUUCUUUAAAGGGGAACUUGAUUUGUUCACCUGCCAUCAAAUGCCCCAAGAAGCCCCAACACAGUCACCUGCUGCUCUGUGAUUAUUUCCACAACCUGUGAGUCUCACCAGAGGCCAUUAGCUAGUUCUGGCCCCGAAUUCUUCUUCCUCUAGCCAGACUGGUUGCACAGGAUCUUGAGCUCUCCCUGGUGCUCACAAAUUGAUAAAUUGGUAUUUUGUUCUGUUUUUCUCUUUUCUUAAGAAGUUGCUUUCUUUUGAAAAGAUGGAUGUUACUGUAGCCUCUCCAUCCCCCAACCUCAGUCUUCCACAUGUUCUCAAAAAUAAUAGCUAAGUGUUUUGCAACAACACUUAUCAACUCUUUAAGUCUCCCACUUUGCUGGUUUGAAUCUACAUGACUUCAAACAAUUUUUCCUCUAUGGAGUGUAAUUUGACACAUACUUUUCCACCCAUGGGAGGUGAUACUUGUCUUGGUCUGUGAUUACGGUAAUUCUUUUAUAAAUAUAAACUAAUCAAGUUGCAUGAACUAAGAACCUACUUUGAAACUAACACUUAAAGGUGCCAAAAGAUUAUAAAAGAUUAUUAUUUGUUGCAAAAGUGUGUUAGUGUAGACUCCAGUGUGAGUGGGUGUGACCAAAGUAAUAUUGAUACAUGGUUGAAAGGUAUAAAGUAGGUUGACAAACGCAAAAUUACAAAUCAGCUUCUGAACUCCACGGGUGUCGUGAUCAGCAGUGUAUCCUUCAACCAAAAUAGUUUUUCAUAUCCUCAGGGAAUUUUUGGCUUUCAUUUUUACCUUUUUGGUAUUCUCAUGUACCUUUUAGGCCAUUGUAUGCAUUCACUCACUCAUGCUUUCAUUCCAUAAUUAUAUUCUGAAGCGCUUCUUGCGUGGCAGACAUGGUCAGGUGCUGGACAUACAACAGAGGACAAGGCAUUCGGGGUCCCAGCUCUCAUGGAUCUCACAACUCAGAAGGAGAAACAGACAUUGAGCAUAUCAUUUUAAUAACAUUUACAGUUGGGGCAGUUUUAAGAAAUAAAAAUACAGUAGUGCUCUGAUGAUCUAUUACU
rnacentral:lncRNA from 13 species